rnacentral:rRNA from 1 species
UUGACCUCGGAUCAGGUAAGGGAUACCAACGCU